ACAAUCUCACUGAUGACACCUUAGAACACGUUGUGACGCGUGCUGACAAUCUCACUGGUGACACCUUAGAACACGUUGUGACAAUCUCACUGAUGACACCUUAGAGCAGUGACAGACAGUGUCGUUAUGGACCCAAAAUCCUCUCCAAACUUCAGAGGAAUGACAGCAUUCUAACCUAAUAGCACUUCAAUCUGACUCCAUAUCAGGUGUCUAUAAAUGCGAGAAGCCCUGUUUGUCUCUGGCGGCUCUAGCCAGGGAGGAAGCCGGGCAUCACCAGUCUCAGAGACUAUAAUGUACAGCUGUCUGAAAUAAACCCUCAUGACAUUAACAAUGUCUACAUACUACGGGCUGAUUAUGACGUCAUGGCUGUGUGUUCUCCUGUAUUCCGAGCUGCAGUAGUUGCUAUGUGUUCUGUCUGUGCAUUAUGACAUCAUGGCUGUGUGUUCUCCUGUAUUCCGAGCUGCAGUAGUUGCUAUGUGUUCUGUCUGUGCAUUAUGACAUCAUGGCUGUGUGUUCUCCUGUAUUCCGAGCUGCAGUAGUUGCUAUGUGUUCUGUCUGUGCAUUAUGACGUCAUGGCUGUGUGUUCUCCUGUAUUCCGAGCUGCAGUAGUUGCUAUGUGUUCUGUCUGUGCAUUAUGACAUCAUGGCUGUGUGUUCUCCUGUAUUCCGAGCUGCAGUAGUUGCUAUGUGUUUUGUCUGUGCAUUAUGACGUCAUGGCUGUGUGUUCUCCUGUAUUCCGAGCUGCAGUAGUUGCUAUGUGUUCUGUCUGUGCAUUAUGACAUCAUGGCUGUGUGUUCUCCUGUAUUCCGAGCUGCAGUAGUUGCUAUGUGUUCUGUCUGUGCAUUAUGACAUCAUGGCUGUGUGUUCUCCUGUAUUCCGAGCUGCAGUAGUUGCUAUGUGUUCUGUCUGUGCAUUAUGACAUCAUGGCUGUGUGUUCUCCUGUAUUCCGAGCUGCAGUAGUUGCUAUGUGUUCUGUCUGUGCGUUAUGACGUCAUGGCUGUGUGUUCUGUUGUGAAUCAGACAGUAGUUAAUGAGCCCAGAGUGUUGUUGUUUGAGCUUUUAAGGCCUGAUUAAUCCACUGCUUCUUAUCUGGGCUCUGCCACUCUGCUCUGUUUCAACAUUGAAACAAGACCCCAUUCAUCUUAAACCACAUGUGUACCCUGUUCACAGACGCGCACACACAAGCACACACAAACACACACACUCACACACAGUCCAUCCAUCUGGAGCUGUAUGUAUUCAGUGUUCACAGGGCUUCUUCAGUGUUCAGCUGAAGUUCAACUGAUUUCAACUGAUGACCAACACUUUGGAUAACCCCACAUUUCCAGAAUGGUCAGAUCAUGUUCUGUGAGGAGGUUUUCCUGGACCACAGGUCUCCCAGUAUGAGACAGUUCCUACAGAGUGCUGUCCAUCUGCAACUCUUCAAACAGUUUAUUGAUGGACGUCUGGAGCUGCUGAACAGAGGGAUGGAGCCAGACGACCUGUUUGAACAGGAGAUGCUACAGUGUGGAACAGCAGAAGCAGGUGUGUGUCUGUCUGUCUGCAUGUCUGUCUGUCUGUCUGUCUGCGUGUCUGUCUGUCUGUCUGUCUCUGUCUGUCUGUCUGCGUGUCUGUCUGUCUGCGUGUCUGUCUGUCUGCGUGUCUGUCUGUCUGUCUGCGUGUCUGUCUGUCUGUCUGUCUGUCUGUC